rnacentral:sRNA from 12 species
GCCGUUCAUGGUGUGGGUAGCGGAAACGCCCCAGCGCUUCAUGUAGAGCGUAGGACACCUAAAAACGGCUU